rnacentral:rRNA from 1 species
CCGGAGGAAGGUGGGGACGACGUCAAGUCAUCAUGGCCCUUACGAGUAGGGCUACACACGUGCUACAAUGGCGCAUACAGAGGGCGGCCAACUUGCGAAAGUGAGCGAAUCCCAAAAAGUGCGUCGUAGUCCGGAUUGGAGUCUGCAACUCGACUCCAUGAAGUCGGAAUCGCUAGUAAUCGUGGAUCAGAAUGCCACGGUGAAUACGUUCCCGGGCCUUGUACACACCGCCCGUCACACCAUGGGAGUGGGCUGCAAAAGAAGUAGGUAGUUUAACCUUCGGGGGGACGCUUACCACUUUGUGGUUCAUGACUGGGGUGAAGUCGUAACAAGGUAGCGCUAGGGGAACCUGGCGCUGGAUCACCUCCUUAAACGAUGAU